rnacentral:lncRNA from 1 species
GCGUAAAUAAUUAUCUAAACAUAAGAACCAUAAACAAAAUAGCAUACAAUAAUAUCAGACAGUAACUACCAUAAAUAACUACCAUAAGAGAGACACAAUCCAAUACACAAAUCAUAUAUGGAUAGCCCUGCCAAGCCUCACCCAACCCCGGAUGAGGAGCACGAAAAACUCUAGGGGCCCAUAUCCUACAACCCUGAUACUAGACCUCCAGACUUUCCUAUCAAGGGCCAUGUCCUCGGAAACCCGCAUUCUAGCCAUGUCAUGCCUAAUCACCUCUCCCC